rnacentral:rRNA from 1 species
CCCUUAGAUGUUCUGGGCCGCACGCGCGCUACACUGACAGAGCCAACGAGUUCUUCACCUUGGCCGGAAGGUCUGGGUAAUCUUGUUAAACUCUGUCGUGCUGGGGAUAGAGCAUUGCAAUUAUUGCUCUUCAACGAGGAAUGCCUAGUAAGCGCGUGUCAUCAGCACGCGUUGAUUACGUCCCUGCCCUUUGUACACACCGCCCGUCGCUACUACCGAUUGAGUGGCUCAGUGAGGCCUUCGGACUGGCUCAGGGAGGUUGGCAACGACCACCCCGAGCCGGAAAGUUCGUCAAACUCGGUCAUUUAGAGGAAGUAAAAGUCGUAACA